UACGUAGGGUGCGAGCGUUAAUCGGAAUUACUGGGCGUAAAGCGUGCGCAGGCGGUUCGUUGUGUCGGCGGUGAAAGCCCCGGGCUUAACCUGGGAAUGGCGCUUGUUACUGGCAGACUAGAGUGCGUCAGAGGGGGGUGGAAUUCCACGUGUAGCAGUGAAAUGCGUAGAGAUGUGGAGGAACACCGAUGGCGAAGGCAGCCCCCUGGGAUGACACUGACGCUCAUACACGAAAGCGUGGGGAGCAAACAGG
rnacentral:rRNA from 1 species